GCCGCUCACCUACAUCUUCAAUAUUGGCUUCUUUUUAUAGUACAAACAUCAUUAAAGGAACAUAACUCUUUUGAAAGAUAACCAAUAGUUUCAGUGAUGUUGAUAUAGUUGUAGAUCUGAUCCUAUUUAUAAUUUUUCCUUUUUCAUAGUUUCUUUUUUUCUACUAUAGCUUUCAAGAUACGGACAAAAAAUUAUAGAUCUGUUUUUUAAAAUUAUCAUUGAAGGGCAUUAAUGUGAGUGGUCUAACAAUUCCGGUACUGACUUAUUUGUAGAACAUUAUUGUUGACCCCUUUUGCUAUCUAAAAGAGGUUCUUACAAAUGACUUUUAUGAUUAAUAAAUCCUCUUUUGACACCGAAAUAAUCUUGUCAAUAUACUUAAAAAAGGUUUUGUGUGAUGUUGAUGUUAUUUAGAUUUGGAUUAAAAAUAUAAAUCAAUGUCAGCUAACGAAUAUCUUAUCUCUAGAUAACUGGUGGAUUGGUUUAAUAGACAUAAAGAUCGAAGGCUCGUUUGAAUGGAUUUCUGGUCAUCCUCUUUCAUUCACUGAUUGGUAUCAAGGUCCACCUAGUGAACCGGAUAAUCAUGGUAUCAAAGGAACUAGAAGUGUCGUGGACUGUGUUUACUUAUCUCCUCUUAACUUUUUCCAGUGGAAAGAUGAGGAUUGUUUCGCAGCCUAUUUUAAUCCGUCUAAUAUAGUCUAUGAAGAUUACACCAAAGCAGUCCAAUUUACAUAAUGGUCUCGAUGGAGUGUAUACAUCAGAGAAUAGAUUACAAAACUUGCCGAAUAAAUGGCCAAAAGAUGAAUAGAAAUAAAAUAGGGCAAACAAUAGAGAAUAUCGGGGUGCUAAAUUAUAAAGAGUAUAGAAUAAUGUACAAAAAUUAAUACAAAUAAAUAAAAAGAUUAAAGAAAAAAGAAUUGAAGGACCCUCCACCCAGAACCACUUACAAAAUAUUAGAUUUAUAUACAUAUAAAUUUUAACACUGCAUCAAGAGUGACACAAUAUUUCUCAAGGUGAGUAAAAUUUAUUUUUAUUGCAGUAUUAUUUUUU
rnacentral:lncRNA from 1 species